rnacentral:rRNA from 1 species
AGCAUCGGCCAUACAUACCAGAAAAUACCGGAUCCCGUCCGAUCUCCGAAGUCAAACUGGUAAUGGCCUAGUCAGUACUACG